rnacentral:lncRNA from 1 species
CUGGUGUACAAUGCCUAACUUGUGAAGCCUCUCAUAGCAAUCCAGAAUGAACUCAUAGGCAUCCUCACUCUCAAAACCAUGGAACACAUGCGACUUCAGCUUCAGAAACUAAGUCAACAUCUCAUGCUCUGCACCAGUUAUAAUAGGACCUAAUAGGGGACGAAAGAAGGCAUCAGUUCCUAAUGAUCCAUCCACCUUGGAAACAGUAGCAACAAUGGGG